UUUUAUGGAGAGUUUGAUCCUGGCUCAGGAUGAACGCUGGCGGCGUGCCUAAUACAUGCAAGUCGAGCGAACGGACGAGAAGCUUGCUUCUCUGAUGUUAGCGGCGGACGGGUGAGUAACACGUGGAUAACCUACCUAUAAGACUGGGAUAACUUCGGGAAACCGGAGCUAAUACCGGAUAAUAUUUUGAACCGCAUGGUUCAAAAGUGAAAGACGGUCUCGCUGUCACUUAUAGAUGGAUCCGCGCUGCAUUAGCUAGUUGGUAAGGUAACGGCUUACCAAGGCAACGAUGCAUAGCCGACCUGAGAGGGUGAUCGGCCACACUGGAACUGAGACACGGUCCAGACUCCUACGGGAGGCAGCAGUAGGGAAUCUUCCGCAAUGGGCGAAAGCCUGACGGAGCAACGCCGCGUGAGUGAUGAAGGUCUUCGGAUCGUAAAACUCUGUUAUUAGGGAAGAACAUAUGUGUAAGUAACUGUGCACAUCUUGACGGUACCUAAUCAGAAAGCCACGGCUAACUACGUGCC
rnacentral:rRNA from 1 species